ensembl:snRNA U1 U1 spliceosomal RNA
GUUCCCACCUGGCCAGGGAAAUACUAUGAUCACAGCAGUGUUUUUCCCAGAAUGAGGCCUGCCUGUUGUACUCCAGGUACACCGACCUCUGCCAAUUUCCCCCAAUUCAGGAAACUUGACUACUUGAUUUAGUGGCAGUGGGGGUCUGCUUUCUUCCUUUCCCCUU